AUUGAACGCUGGCGGCAUGCCUUACACAUGCAAGUCGAACGGUAACAGGUCUUCGGAUGCUGACGAGUGGCGAACGGGUGAGUAAUACAUCGGAACGUGCCCGAGAGUGGGGGAUAACGAGGCGAAAGCUUUGCUAAUACCGCAUACGAACUCAGGAUGAAAGGGGGGGAUCGCAAGACCUCUCGCAAUUGGAGCGGCCGAUAGCAGAUUAGCUAGUUGGUGGGGUAAAGGCCUACCAAGGCAACGAUCUGUAGUUGGUCUGAGAGGACGACCAGCCACACUGGGACUGAGACACGGCCCAGACUCCUACGGGAGGCAGCAGUGGGGAAUUUUGGGCAAUGGGCGCAAGCCUGAUCCAGCAAUGCCGCGUGCAGGAAGAAGGCCUUCGGGUUGUAAACUGCUUUUGUCAGGGAAGAAAUCCUCUAGGUUAAUACCCUUGGGGGGAUGACGGUACCUGAAGAAUAAGCACCGGCUAACUACGUGCCAGCAGCCGCAGUAACAC
rnacentral:rRNA from 1 species